GGAAAUCACGUAACUGCUCUGAGCCUCAGCAUCCCUUCUAUCAAAUAAAAAAAGUAUAAUAAAGAUCAUCUUUCAGGGUAACAUAGAAAACUUCAGGCCAGGCAUGGUGGGUCAUACCUGUAAACCCAGCACUUUGGGAGCCUGAGGCGGAUGGAUCACCUGAGGUCAGGAGUUCGAGACCAGCCUGAACAAUAUGGUGAAACCCUGUCUCUACUAAAAAUACAAAAAUUAGUGGAUGUGGUGGUGCGCGCCUGUAAUCCCAGCUACUCCAGAGGCUGAGGCAGGAGAAUCGCUUGAACCCGGGAGGCAGAGGUUUCAGUGAGCCGAGAUCGCACCACUGUACUGCAGCCUGGGCGACAGAGCGAGAUGCUGUCUCGAGGAAAAAAAAAAAGAAAGAAAACUUCAUAUGUUUCACAGGAUGAUACUCAUACAUAUGGAAAAGGCAUACAGCUGUAUCUGAGACAAUUCAUUACCAACUACGGAUAAACUAGUUAAGAUAUAGGAUAUGCUGACAACGGGUCACCAUCUGUAAAAUGUGUUUAUGGAAAAUAAAACAUGGAUUUCCUAUGCCUAUACCUGCAACCUUCUUCUGAUUCAGCAGCAACCCUAAUGUCUCUUCUUCUACCUUCUAGAAGUUUACCACUUUCAUGCUACUACUUUUAACAUAUUUCAAAACAGUGAGAUUCAAA
rnacentral:lncRNA from 1 species